UUUAUGGAGAGUUUGAUCCUGGCUCAGGAUGAACGCUGGCGGCGUGCCUAAUACAUGCAAGUCGAGCGAACGGACGAGAAGCUUGCUUCUCUGAUGUUAGCGGCGGACGGGUGAGUAACACGUGGAUAACCUACCUAUAAGACUGGGAUAACUUCGGGAAACCGGAGCUAAUACCGGAUAAUAUUUUGAACCGCAUGGUUCAAAAGUGAAAGACGGUCUUGCUGUCACUUAUAGAUGGAUCCGCGCUGCAUUAGCUAGUUGGUAAGGUAACGGCUUACCAAGGCAACGAUGCAUAGCCGACCUGAGAGGGUGAUCGGCCACACUGGAACUGAGACACGGUCCAGACUCCUACGGGAGGCAGCAGUAGGGAAUCUUCCGCAAUGGGCGAAAGCCUGACGGAGCAACGCCGCGUGAGUGAUGAAGGUCUUCGGAUCGUAAAACUCUGUUAUUAGGGAAGAACAUAUGUGUAAGUAACUGUGCACAUCUUGACGGUACCUAAUCAGAAAGCCACGGCUAACUACGUGCCAGCAGCCGCGGUAAUACGUAGGUGGCAAGCGUUAUCCGGAAUUAUUGGGCGUAAAGCGCGCGUAGGCGGUUUUUUAAGUCUGAUGUGAAAGCCCACGGCUCAACCGUGGAGGGUCAUUGGAAACUGGAAAACUUGAGUGCAGAAGAGGAAAGUGGAAUUCCAUGUGUAGCGGUGAAAUGCGCAGAGAUAUGGAGGAACACCAGUGGCGAAGGCGACUUUCUGGUCUGUAACUGACGCUGAUGUGCGAAAGCGUGGGGAUCAAACAGGAUUAGAUACCCUGGUAGUCCACGCCGUAAACGAUGAGUGCUAAGUGUUAGGGGUUUCCGCCCCUUAGUGCUGCAGCUAACGCAUUAAGCACUCCGCCUGGGGAGUACGACCGCAAGGUUGAAACUCAAAGGAAUUGACGGGGACCCGCACAAGCGGUGGAGCAUGUGGUUUAAUUCGAAGCAACGCGAAGAACCUUACCAAAUCUUGACAUCCUUUGACAACUCUAGAGAUAGAGCUUUCCCUUCGGGGACAAAGUGACAGGUGGUGCAUGGUUGUCGUCAGCUCGUGUCGUGAGAUGUUGGGUUAAGUCCCGCAACGAGCGCAACCCUUAAGCUUAGUUGCCAUCAUUAAGUUGGGCACUCUAAGUUGACUGCCGGUGACAAACCGGAGGAAGGUGGGGAUGACGUCAAAUCAUCAUGCCCCUUAUGAUUUGGGCUACACACGUGCUACAAUGGACAAUACAAAGGGCAGCGAAACCGUGAGGUCAAGCAAAUCCCAUAAAGUUGUUCUCAGUUCGGAUUGUAGUCUGCAACUCGACUACAUGAAGCUGGAAUCGCUAGUAAUCGUAGAUCAGCAUGCUACGGUGAAUACGUUCCCGGGUCUUGUACACACCGCCCGUCACACCACGAGAGUUUGUAACACCCGAAGCCGGUGGAGUAACCUUUUAGGAGCUAGCCGUCGAAGGUGGGACAAAUGAUUGGGGUGAAGUCGUAACAAGGUAGCCGUAUCGGAAGGUGCGGCUGGAUCACCUCCUUUCU
rnacentral:rRNA from 1 species